UCCUGCUUCCCGGGGAGCCCGGGGGAUGAGCGACAGAGCCCGGCACCGUGCACCGAGUCCCUCCUUCUCCUUCUCCUCCUCCUCCUCGGUGCGGCCGCCUCCCGUCGCCGCAGCCUCCCGUCGCCGCAGCGGCGGUGCCCAUGGCGGCAGAGCCGCAGCCCAAGGCGCUGACCCGCAAGCCCCUCCUGCUCAACAAAGUGGAGGGCUCGCAGGAGGUGGUGAACAUGGCAGCGAUCGUGCCCAAGGAGGACGGGGUCAUCAGCGUCUCCGAGGACAGAACUGUUCGUGUCUGGCUGAAGAGAGACAGCGGGCAGUACUGGCCCAGCAUAUACCAUGCAAUGCCAUCUCCAUGUUCAUGCAUGUCUUUUAACCCGGAAACCAGAAGGCUGUCCAUAGGUCUAGACAAUGGUACAAUCUCAGAAUUCAUUUUAUCAGAAGAUUACAACAAGAUGACACUAGUGAAAAGUUACCAGGCUCAUCAAAGCAGGGUGAUAAUGAUUCUGUUCGUCCUGGAGAUGGAGUGGGUGCUGAGCACCGGACAAGACAAGCACUUCACGUGGCACUGUUCAGAGAGCGGCCAGCGCCUGGGAGGGUACCGCACCAGCGCGGGGGCCUGUGGCCUGCAAUUUGAUGUGGAAACUCGGCACGUGUUUGUUGGUGAUCAUUCUGGGCAAGUAACCAUACUCAAACUAGAGCAAGAGUCCUGCAGCCUUGUUACAACAUUUAAGGGACACACAGGCGGUGUCACUGCUCUCUGUUGGGACCCAAUACAGAGAGUUUUAUUCUCAGGCAGUUCUGAUCAUUCCAUUAUAAUGUGGGAUAUUGGAGGAAGAAAAGGAACAGCCAUCGAGCUGCAAGGACAUAACGACCGAGUUCAGUCUCUCUCGUAUGCUCACCACACUCGGCAGCUCAUCUCGUGUGGUGCCGAUGGGGGAAUCGUUGUAUGGAACAUGGAUGUUGAGAGACAGGAGACCCCUGAGUGGCUGGACAGCGACUCCUGUCAAAAAUGUGACCAGCCUUUCUUCUGGAACUUCAAGCAAAUGUGGGACAGUAAGAAAAUAGGCCUCAGGCAGCACCACUGCCGCAAGUGCGGGAAGGCCGUCUGCGGCAAGUGCAGCUCCAAGCGCUCCUCCAUCCCGCUGAUGGGCUUCGAGUUUGAAGUGAGGGUCUGCGAUAGCUGCCACGAGUCCAUCACGGAUGAAGAGCGGGCGCCCACAGCUACUUUCCAUGACAGCAAGCACAACAUAGUUCACGUACACUUUGAUGCCACCAGAGGAUGGCUCUUGACCUCGGGGACAGACAAGGUUAUUAAGUUGUGGGAUAUGACACCAGUAGUGUCUUGAUGAUGCACCAGUGGAACUUGAAGGGUGAUAUUUACAGAAGAAACAGAUUUCCUAACCCUAAUCACACUGCAGAAGAUAGAUAACGCUGGGCGCAUACGGCAGAUGAGAAAGGAACUAAUGUGUUUACAACAAUUUUAUGUCCUCUGCUUGAUCAAGGCUGAACAUUUGCACGAAGACUUUUUCCACUUAUUCUCAAAAUAUCCAAGAAGAUCAGCACAAGAAGACCAGCACAAAAAACUGUUGCCUGGACAAGAGGUUGAACUCAAAGACAUUGAAAUUUCUGCCACAUGUGGACAUCGAACUCAAGACAAAAUGAAAACAAGAGAGACCAGUCUACCAGCAAAGUAUUUGUACAGAACUCUACAAAGCUGAACCAUCCCCUGUCCUAGUGUUAUGAGCUGACCAGCAGUCCUGUUGCCCAGUAGUAGUGUUUAUCUACCUCAAGCAGAGCAGUAAGAAAUGCAGUAGAUGUGGAAGCACUUUGAUAUUUCAGCGAUGGCAGAGAGCCCCAUCACUGCUGAGAUGGUGCUGAGAGGUGUCAGGCCUUACGGAGAAUGAAUAAACAUGGCCCAGCAAUGAAACUUUAGGAAAAGAGGAAAUGCCAUGUACGUGAUCAUCUGUUGCACGGACCUCCUAAAAUUUUCACUGAUGACUGAGAAACGUUUCAGUGGCAACUGCAUCACUGCGGUCAGUCCUGCUGCACUGCUGACGGGGCAACGUGGGGAAACGACUCUACGUGUGGUCUGUGCACUCUGGCUUGAGCAAAACCCCCAAGAGCAAAAACCUUCUGAGCUGGUGACAUUAAAAAAUGAAGAAAAAUGAGAAAGCCUUCAGAAUGUGAAUAAUUAAAGAACUGAGGUCAGAGUCAUAUAAGCUCGAAAGCUGAUACAAGAAGUGUUGGGCUGAGCAUAGAAAGGGAAGGAAGAACAACUGUUAUGCUUCUGUUUCAGCUCCUAUAAAGCAGGUGUGUAACAAAGUCCUUAAUGUGCACUGCUUAGCAAGAGUCUGUGCUACCUUGCAUUUCUGAUGUCGUCACCAGAUGCCACUUCUCUCUUGCCCCUAAAAAUUUUACAGGUGACACCAGAUGUAUUUGCUUAAACAAAAAUUUAUUCUGAAUUGCAUUAACACAAAGCAUCUGGCUGGCUUUAUAGCUACAUACCUCAUUUGCUCUUGUGGAAAGGGGUGAAAUAAAGCAACACUGUGAAUAUAACAGCAGUACUGCGGGAGAUUCCAGGUUUUGUUUCUAACUGCUGUCCCGUAUUUAACUUUAUUUAAAAUCACAAGUGCUCUUAAAAACACAAUAGCUGGCUAUUUUUAAUGCUGUGACCAAACUUUGAUUAAAGCCGUUUUCUUACUGUUGGCCUUAUUUCCAACUUAAGGCGUGACUAAAAUGACAAAUAUAGGAUAUUUAAAUACAUUGGUAAAGAAUGUGGAUUUAAUAUAUGUUAAGGUGCACUUUUGAUUAUUUUUAUGAGCCUUAUAAAUAUCAUUGUCAUUGAACUUUUCUUCUGCUCUGCAGCAAAGCAACUUGGCUUAGACACGCAAGUAGACAAACAUUGUCUUUAUUAGCUUUGCAGCUACUAGAUUGAGAAGUGCAGUUACUAAAUCCUUUUUCAGCUGUGCUUUUGUUUUCAGUAGCUGUAUUUAGUUUGAAUAAUCUAAAAGUUUGUUAAUUUAAGACUUUUGGAAAAUAAAUGUCCAAGCCUUGCCACUAUUAUCUUCCAGUGCAGUGUACAAAGGAGUUAAGUUUCUAAAAUAAAGCAACAGUGUGAAUGAUGUUCCAGCCUCUGCAGGAAGAGCUGUGACAGCCUGAAGUAUUUCAGUGCUGCUUAUCAUGGGAAAACUUAUUUCAGUGCCUCUCUGACAGUAAAGCCAUUUUUCUGAGGAGACUGACAGAACGCUGAAAAGGGAAGUUUUUUCUAAACUGAUAAUAGAAUGUCUCUGAAUAAUGAGUGAACGCAGAACUCUGUGGCAUUGGCCAGGAGGAUAUCUUUUGUAAAACUAAAUUAUGUAAAGCGGACAUAAUGAGUUCUUUGUCUAUCAGCAUGGUCUUUAGCUACCAGUCAUUGUAGAGAGCCCCAAAGAAAACCCGUGGGUUUUUUAAUGUCUAGUCCUUUUGCACUACCACAUUGGUCUACAGUCACGUAUAGAAACAGUUCUACAACUUUACUGGGUUUUUAUUGUUUGUUUGUUUGUUUUUGCCAUCAAACACACUUGGUUCAGGAGAAAAACGUUACCACUACUGCUAUUAACAAUCAUGGCUUUGCAGUAUAUUUGAAAUAUAUAAGAUAACAUACUACAAAUGUCUUUGUCUGAGCUAGUUGUCUUUACAGUAAGCAGAAAGAUGUAGGAAUGUAGGGUUGUUUCUUAAAACAGAUCCAAUAAAUCACAGUGAAAGAGCCUGUUUUCUCUCUAAUGAUUUACGGUGAGAAUCCCAAUGAGUUAUUCAAAUGUCCGCAGGUCAGGUAAGACAAAUCCGAUCCUCUGUGUCUGGAAAUAGAACCGUUCCAGGCAAAAUACAACCCCCUUAUCAGGAGGUGGAUUUCGCCUCUAAAGGCUGUGCCUCCCAGCGUUCCCUUCCCUUUCAUAUUCCAUUCACAAUGACAAAGCAAUUCCCUGAUCUUUCACAGAAAUGACAAGUGCAUACAGCUUAGCACCUUAUUUCUUUUCAUGUGCAGAGUCUUUCAGCCAUUUCUCUGCUUCCUGAAAGGGAGGGAUCCAGCCAUGACUGGGUGCAGUAUAUAUCGAAGCUUCCUACUUCAUGGUGUCUUGACAUUAACGGGGUAACGCUCAGCCCUGGCUCCAUAAAGUAAUGUGGAAGGCAUUUGGCAGCGUUCCUAAAUUCCUGCUGUUUAAACAUGAGGAAGCAGAUCACUGUUGCAUACCAGCAUUGAUUUAUAGAAACUGAAGGCUGUGAAGAAUCCUUCCAUUUAAACUAAGCAGGCGACGCAGGAGUUUUUGCGUUCCCAGUUACAUGUUUGAGCCUAGUCACCCACACCCACCGA